AAUCUUCAGAUGACGUUUCACCUAGCAGUUGUACGUUUUCCUCAGUCAUCAGAUAACCCCUCAUGAGAUAACCCCUUGUGCAGCGUUUGAAAGUGCAAAGAUCCAAAAGUGAUAGCCCUCGGCACCCGCAUUAUAGUGUGUUUUCCGAUUAACGACUAUAAGGAUGUUUUGAUGCGAAGCUAAUGGAGGAAACAAUUUGCUGACGCGCCGCAACGCUGGCUAGAUGGCUGAUAAGUCGUGGAAAUCGUACCCUGGCACAGUGCCUCACAAAGUUAAACUGCCAUUUAAAAAUUACUCAUCGAUCGUGAGCCUAAAUUUGGAACUGGCACGCUUAUGGGAAAUGUGAAAACGUGCCCCCAAAUAUUGCGCAAACUAAUUUGCGUUGAAAAAAAAAACGAUCGUAAACAACUGGCAUUGGCACGAGGGCAAUAACUCAAAUUGGAUGAAAACAAAUGGACUUUUUGAAGCCGGGAAUGGGUUUAAAAUUUAACGGAUAAUUAUUUGCAACGGAUAACAAAACAUGGAAAACGUUUAAAAAUGGAGCGACAAACAAAAAUGGUCUGAGUACAUUCAUCAGUUGUUCACACAGUUCGUGGGGCAGCUGGGAAAACACUAACCGGUCUUUGCUCGGAAUAGCCCAGUGAUGGUCCAACAGACUCUUGCGCCGCUCCUCCAAAGUGGUGCGGGUGUCUGUUAUGCCCAGGCCGACCUUUUUAUCCUCAUCCUCUUGAGCGUCAGUCUUAGCGCUAUCUUUGGCUUCCGUAGAUGAGUCCUACAAAAAAGUUUGAUAAGUUCAAGAUCGAUAAGAGAUUAUUGAGUGACUCACGUCCACACGUUCGCGGUCGAAGGCCUUGGGAAAAGCAUCGCCAUCGCGUCCAGUGCUGGAGCAGAGCGACUCCUGGUCGUCGGCUAUCUCCAGGGAUCCAAUUUCAGCUGCAAAAUGGAGAAAUGUAUUAAGAAAUAAAAUAAUUUAUAAAAAUAUUAAA